rnacentral:misc_RNA from 1 species
GCAAACUUGGUCAUUUAGAGGAAGUAAAAGUCGUAACAAGGUUUCCGUAGGUAAGUAGUUAGAAGCUUUCAAUCUUACACCCUCUAGAAUAGUGGCUAACUUUUUCCUUUUAGGUGAACCUGCGGAAGGAUCAUUACCGAGUGCAAACCCCCCUCGUAAAAAAGGGUGGUUACCUCCCGUCCUUUGCUUAACAACACCCUCCAAGUUUGGAUGGGAGUUGGUUUCAAACCCCCUUCUGCUUCGGCGGGUUACCCCGUCGGAAGAACCUUAAAAUAUUCUCAAUUUCAAACCGUUCAGUCCGAGAAACAUUUUUGAAAAAGCAAAAAACUUUCAACAACGGAUCUCUUGGUUCUGGCAUCGAUGAAGAACGCAGC